GGUGAGUUACUCAAGUGGCCAACGAGGGCAGACUGUAAAUCUGCUGACUAUGUCUUCGGAAGUUCGAAUCUUCCACUCACCACCA
rnacentral:tRNA from 1 species